AAGAAGAGAGAAAUCGAUGGUCGUCAUUGAAUGGAUCGGCGAGAUAGUUUCAACGAUUCUCGUCAUUGCUUCUUCUUCUUUUGCUUCUUCUUCUUCUUCUUUUUCUUUUUCUU
rnacentral:ribozyme from 12 species